GACGAACGCUGGCGGCGUGGAUUAGGCAUGCAAGUCGAACGGUAUCAUCCUUUCGGGGGUGAGAGAGUGGCGAACUGGUGAGUAACACGUAGGUUAUCUACCCUCAAGACGGGGACAACCCAGGGAAACUUGGGCUAAUACCGGAUGUGAGCAACUUUUAGUUGUUUGAAAGGUGGCGUAAGCUGUCGCUUGGGGAUGAGCCUGCGUCCUAUUAGUUAGUUGGUGAGGUAACGGCUCACCUAGGCAAUGAUAGGUAGGCGGCCUUAACGGGUGGUCGCCCACACUGGGAUUGAGAUACGGCCCAGACUCCUACGGGAGGCAGCAGUCGAGAAUAGUCUACAAUGGUCGGAAGACUGAUAGUGCGACGCCGCGUGAACGAUGAAUCCCUUCGGGGUGUAAAGUUCUUUUAUAUGUGAGCAGUUGCUUCUUAUAUUAACAGUAUGGGGAGAGAGAUAUUAGCAUAUGAAUAAGCAACGGCUAACGUCCGUGCCAGCAGCCGCGGUAAU
rnacentral:rRNA from 1 species